GGUUGACCUCGGAUCAGGUAGGGAUACCCGCUGAACUUAAGCAUAUCAAUAAGCGGAGGAAAAGA
rnacentral:rRNA from 1 species